rnacentral:lncRNA from 1 species
GGGAGGCGGCAGAGAUCCCCGGGGGAGCGGGAUGCGCCUCGCGGUGGCCGCCCCUGAGGUGAUUGGGCGCCUGGCCGCCCUGGUCCCUCGCAGACAGCUUGAAUCUGACGCUCCGGUUUAUACCUCGUUCUGGAGGGCCGUGAGAGUAGCUUGGAGGUGAAACCGGGACAGAAGGUGACCGCGGCAGUCCCGGCCCCGCUGACCUCUUCCGUAGCGCACACAAAGCAGUGAUCCCUUCCUUUGAGAUGCGGGUUGCGGACAGUCAAGUUUUAGCUCCAAUCCCUUAGGGACCCGCUGGAGGAAAGGCAGCUUUCAGGCUGCUGCAGCGGCAAGUCCUUGUCCUUGGGAGAAGAGAGGUACCGCAAGGGAAUGGAGGAAACCAGCUAAGGGGGGGAACCACCCCAGGGAUUGGAGCCUGCUGCACACUGUUUUGCCUAAGAAAUCUAAAAACAUCAGUCUUAAAAGACAGUGGCCUCUCUUUUGAAAGCUCACGGUUCAGCCCUCCCAGUUGGUCAGCACUCAGGCUAAUGAGGCACGCUGGUAACAUACUGAUCGCGGCACACCAGCAGCAGGAGCACGUCUGCGCUGCACAUUUGAGUUUCACCUUGGGUGACUUUAUUGCCCACAAAAUGAGGAAGUGGAGCCAACUGUACUGCAGGGAUCCUCACACGCUUCUGCCAGCACGCUUCACUUCUGCACUGGCCUUCCCCUUGCUAUGACGAGCUUUACUCCUCCCUCCACUGCCACCAACUUUCACCAAGUCUGCCAAUGAACUGUGAUGCUAUUCUGUAGCCUUAGCUUCUGAUCCAGUCCUAAGCCACUUUAUUACACUGCAGAGGAGUCGCAUCUCUGACUUGCAGCCCAGUUCAGGAUUAUAGCAAGCCGUUUCAUACUGGUUUGGGCCUCUAGUUCUGCCAUGACAUCUUAGUCCUGCAGCAUCAGUUCUUCUCCAGAGCAAACACAAUCUGUUCUGAUGACAGACCACAAAUUGAGUUUGGCGGUGGGAGCGCAUGCUGAAUUAGGCAGAGACUGAGAAUGCUUUUUGACUUCAGAUUCCCGCGUGUUUGUGGUAACACAAAUCACAUAUCCAUUUCUUCUGGCUUCACCUCUGGGAAUGUGGCAACCUGCACAAGAGUACGAGCAUCAGAGGAAACCGGGGAUUGGAAAGGGGGAAUAACAAGAGAAAAGGCUAUUUAGACAGUGGUGCUCUUCUGAUACAGAGGAAUGUCUCUGUGAACAACCAUGAAAACAGAACAAAACAAAGAAACCUCAAAAUCCGUGUAGGAAAAUCAGCCAUGUAUAAAACCCAGCCUGGAAAUCAGACCCUAGAGUAGAGAUGGCUGAGGACUGUCACAAACAUCACAAAUAGCAGGCACGUGCAUCACAGUAGUUUGUUAAAAAUAACACCCCUGAAAACUCCCAGAAAUCAACAUUUGGAUGGAAUGAGACAUUCCCCUUGGGCUCACUGAGGACACUGUGUUAUGCACAUCUGGUUUCUACAAAAGAAGAGCCCCCUA